CAAGUCAAUAUUUAUCUGGUCAUUUUCAACUGUUUUUUAAUGUUAAAAGUCCCUCGCAGUCAACAGCUGUUUCCGGUGAGUUCUCAACUGCAGGAUCAAUAGCAUUCAGCAGUGAGUUUAACAACGCUCAAAUGUGGGUAAAAUAACAUUCAGAGAGGAGUUUUAUUAAAACAGCGUUCAACUGCAUGUAAGACAACCUUUUAGAGUCCUGUAAUAACUGUGACGUCAUCGAAUGAGACGAAGGUCCAUGGCUGUUUCAACUCGGAAGUUGAGAUGAAGGUAAUUCUUACAUUUACAGAGCAAAAAAAUUUUAAUCGUAACAAUAAGUUGUGUUUGGAACAUUAUAAUGUAUACGGUAGCAAUCUUAGGAUGGUAAAUAAUAGAAGUCAUUAAAAAUAACUUCGUUGCACCACAUAUGCAGUAGGCUAAUAGCAAAAUAGCUAUAAUUCAUUCUGUCGCAAAUAAGGUAACUAAUCAUGCAAGAUUCAGGGAAAUGCAAGAUUUCAGUAGUGAUAUGUUACCUAUAUUACACUAGCUCGCAACUAUUAAGCCAAUUUUAGCCAACAUGAUCAGACGAAGAACAGUGUUGCCAGAUUGGUUUGUUUUCCAGCCCAGUAAUUAUUUAAAAUCCACACAAAAUUAUACAAUAAACGGUCAGAUAUGAUCUAUAAUUAAACAAUACAACUUAAUUCAUAACAGCACCUAUUGUGGCUCAUCAUGUUUUAAUAUGAAAUUAUGAAUAAUUUAAUUGCUCUUUCAGAGAUUACAUAGGAACCUACAAUUUACAUUGCAACUGUAAAAUUAUUUUCCAUUUCUGUCCUCUCCCUAAUAAUUUAAAAAUUCCACCUGCCCAAACCCUUUUUAUUGCACAUAGUAGCCUACAACCCAAAACCAACCAAAUGGGUGCAAAACUUCCCGUUUUACCAGACUGAUGAAGAAUACUGGUGAAAAUGUAAUAUGUAUUAAUCUAAAAAGUUUUUUUCUCUCUCAUCAGGUCCUUUUAGUAUGUUUACCUUUGUAUUUGUUUUGUCUGGUCAUCUUUGUCUAUCUGUUUGUAUUUGUGCAUAUUUAGUCAUGACAAGGCCCAUAUCUGGUAAGCAGGAAAACUUUCCAUGUCUGCUUUGCAAGCUUGUCCACCAAAAAAAGUCAGGUCACUGGAUAGCCAGUGGGGGAAAUCUGUCCUUAAAAGCAGAAAUGCUGGGCGUAUAAUUAAUUCUGCCUGUAUUGCAGUAAGUGAAAGUGUUCAUAUUUCAAAUGAAGUGCGCAUGUUUUUCACAUAAUAUAAGACUAGCACUAGGGAUGCACCGAUACCACUUUUUAGGAAUAUGAGUACGAGUAUUUGCAUUUUAGUACUUGCUGAUACCGAUACCGAGUACUUAAUAAUAAUAAUAAAAAAAAACAUGAUUUAAAUUUACAGGUAACAGCUUUAGUCAUAUACUUUAACAAAAAAACAAGGGACUAGUUUUACAGUUUGUUGUAAACUCUGCCUCUUUGGACAACACAAGAGGCAUUAACCCCUUACACGCUGCUCAAACAUAGACAUUUCUCAGACCGUGGUAUCGAUCCAUGGUAUGGGGGGACUUUUAACGAGUACUUUAGAAAAUGUGGUAUUGAGGCCGAUACCAGUAUUGGUAUCGGUGCAUCCCUAACCAAUAUGGUCUGGCUUUUACAAACAUAGGCUUAUUUCAUACAUGGAAGAAUCCAUAUUUAGCUAAAUUGUGUUGAAGAGUAUCAAUAAGUUGUGUUCGCUGUCAAGUAUUAAGAAAGUUAUAAUGUCAAUGGGAGAAUGAGUCUGGAAUUAACCAUUGAUUGUAUCCACCUUAUUUUUGAUGUAAAUGUUUGUGCCGCCAUCUUUAUGGUAUCGUAUUGCAAGGGACACGAGUGUGCUGUUUUGACUGUCUUUUUAAUGUUUAUUAUGAAAUUCAGGAAGACCGGUAUAAUUUUUACAGUUAGGGGUUGCCAUAAUAGCUGAUACAAACACAGUAAAUCUCUACAAAACAUAAUAUGUUGUGUAUGUAUGUGGCACACGUGCACUCAUGAUCUUUAUCCACACAUCCAUCCAGUAAAACCUUUCAUAGUGCUAGUGAACAAUAAACACAAUAAUUGUUCAAAAACAACUUCGAAAAUAAGGUUACAGUUCAAAAGUCAUAUGUUUUAUAAAAGAAUCUUUUAUGGUUACAGCUCAUUUACUUUUUCAUUUCAGGUGCGGAAACUUGAGGCUGUCGGAUACAAGUCAAUCGUAUUUACUGGGAAACGGGAUAAAAAGGACCUGCCGGAGAGCCUCGCCGUGGAGCUGCCAGAGAGCAUCGUCAUGGAACGGCCGGAGAAUCUCAACAAGGAGUCUGAGGCUGUAUUUGCAUUAAAUCUUGUUCCUCUGUCCUCUAGACUCUCUCCAACCUCUCUUGCUCCUAUUACUUUUACAACUAUUUUCCUCCACUUUCUUUCCCACCUCCUCUGACAUGCUCACUAUCACGUCUUUGCCUUUUCAAACUAUACCAUGGCUUCAAACUAUACCAUAAAGCAGGGUGCCCCAAAUCUAACCCUGGAGGGCCGGAGCACUGCAGAGUUUAGCUCCAACCCUGAUCAAACAGACCUGAUCAAGGUCUUCAUGAUCACUAGAAAAUCACAGGUGGGUAAAAUUUAUUAGGGCUGGACCUAAACUCUGUAGUGCUCCGGCCCUCCAGGGUAAGAUUUUGGGAACCCUGGAAUAAAGGGUAACUUUUUUCCUAUUACAUCUUACUCCACAAUUUGCUCCUAGUCAAAUCUAUCUUCAUGUAUAUUGAAUUCAUUUACCUAACCAGGUAAUUGUUAGCCAGUUCACAGUGUUUUAGAGGCCAUUGUCCAAGGGCUGUGGUCAAUAUAAAUUCCUGACUUAAGCUAAGAGGUCUUUGGGAAUACCAACCCAAUACAUUUUGGUUGAUUGACAAAAACAAGCACAAAUUCAUUUGACACUACUGGAAAGAACUGUAUAUCACUUGACAUAAAUAGGGACUCAUGUGAUUGUUACAAAGCAUGGCAUUCAUGUCUUAUUAAAAUGUACUUUUUCUCUUCAUCAUUUCAGGUUGUCGAUAAAAUAACUGGGGAAUUGAUAAAUAAGGGGAAAGCUGAAUUGGAAGUUCACUGGUGACCGUGCUCUGUGUGUGGCAAAACCUGGGAUGACACAUGGGAGACUGCCAGCGAAUUCCAACACAAGUCCCACAUCCCAACCAGCUUUCAGCAUGACGGCCUACACCUUUUUAUUAUCAAGCACCUUUCAAUUCUUUUUGAUUGUCUUUGCUUGCUGUUCUUUAUUAAAGUUUUUGCACAGUA